CGGAUGAACGCUAGCUACAGGCUUAACACAUGCAAGUCGAACGGUGACGAGGAGCUUGCUCCUCUGAUCAGUGGCGAACGGGUGAGUAACACGUGAGCAACCUGCCCCAGACUCUGGAAUAACAGUUGGAAACAGCUGCUAAUACCGGAUACGAGACGGAGAGGCAUCUCUACCGUCUGGAAAGUUUUUCGGUCUGGGAUGGACUCGCGGCCUAUCAGCUAGUUGGUGAGGUAAUGGCUCACCAAGGCGACGACGGGUAGCCGGCCUGAGAGGGCGACCGGCCACACUGGGACUGAGACACGGCCCAGACUCCUACGGGAGGCAGCAGUGGGGAAUAUUGCACAAUGGGCGAAAGCCUGAUGCAGCGACGCCGCGUGAGGGAUGACGGCCUUCGGGUUGUAAACCUCUUUCAGCAGGGAAGAAGCGAAAGUGACGGUACCUGCAGAAGAAGCACCGGCUAACUACGUG
rnacentral:rRNA from 1 species